GUUGUCAGAGCCUAUAAAUGACUCCAAGGUAGGAACCUAUGCAAUGUGUCUAUAAGUCAGGGGGUACUAUGAUCAAUCAUAAUUAUUUUUCUCUAAAUAUGUUGCCAUUCAUCCCUUCUCCCCAGUAGAAUAUAAGUUUUGUGUUAUAGAUAGACAGACCAUACAUAGUAUUUAUUACGUACUUAGCAUUUGCCAGAUCCCAUAUCUGCCUUUCCUUCCUUUUUCCCUCCCACUCCUCUUUCUCUCUUUUUUCUCUUUUCCUUCCUUCCUUCCUUCCCUUCAUUCCUUACUUACUUCCUUACUUCCUUCCUUCCUUCCUUCCUGCCUUCCUUCCUUCCUUCCUCUUUCUUUCUUUCUUUCUUUUCUCUCUC
ensembl:lncRNA